GGAAUAUGCACCCUUACAGGGCACACCAUCAAUGACCCACCUCCUCCAGGCAUGCUCCAUCUGCCUACAGGGAAGGCCUUAAGAAGUAAGGAGUGGCAUGGAGAUCCUGGCCUGAGCCUUGAAGACUACAGACUGAAAUGGGCAGUGAAAAGCCUCCAGCCUGGAAAGAAGAAAAAAGGUGCUUUGGGCCCUUAGGGCCUCCAUCACAAAGGUCCUCUAGGACCACGGAGCUGCUCAUUGGGGGACUCAUUUGGCUCUGCCCACGCGACCAAGCCAAUCUGCCUUAAGAGCGGGACCUAAGAGUUCCAGUUGAGGUGCUCACCGGAAGAGCCAGUGGUGGCAGUUGGGCUCUCAGGGAAUUCCUGGAGAGCUUGCGUGGUGCGGCGUGUGU